rnacentral:misc_RNA from 1 species
GAUGAAGAACGCAGCAAAAUGCGAUAAGUAAUGUGAAUUGCAGAAUUCAGUGAAUCGUCGAAUCUUUGAACGCACAUUGCGCCCGCUGGUAUUCCGGCGGGCAUGCCUGUUCGAGCGUCAUUUCAACCCUCAAGCCCCCGGGUUUGGUGUUGGGGAUCGGCUCUGCCCUUCUGGGCGGUGCCGCCCCCGAAAUACAUUGGCGGUCUCGCUGCAGCCUCCAUUGCGUAGUAGCUAACACCUCGCAACUGGAACGCGGCGCGGCCAUGCCGUAAAACCCCAACUUCUGAAUGUUGACCUCGGAUCAGGUAGGAAUACCCGCUGAACUUAAGCAUAUCAAUAAGCGGAGGA